UACAGAGGUCCCAAGCGUUGUUCGGAUUCACUGGGCGUAAAGGGUGCGUAGGUGGUGAGGUAAGUCGGAUGUGAAAGCUCGGAGCUCAACUCCGAAAUGGCAUUGGAAACUACCUUGCUCGAGGGUUGGAGGGGGGACUGGAAUGCUUGGUGUAGCAGUGAAAUGCGUAGAUAUCAAGCGGAACUCCAGUGGCGAAGGCGAGUCCCUGGACAACUCCUGACACUGAGGCACGAAAGCUAGGGGAGCAAACAGG
rnacentral:rRNA from 1 species